CGGUAAUUCCAGCUCCAAUAGCGUAUGCUAAAAUUGUUGCGGUUAAAACGCUCGUAGUUGUACGUUCCUCCAGGGCACUCGGAUUUUUCGUACAGAAGGUUCCGAGUGGUCUGUGAAAUUAUCUUACAAAGCGGUCUCUUGCUGAGCACGCGGAAAGGGAUACUUGUACCUUGAAGAAAGUAGAGUGCUUCAAGCAGAUUAUUGGCUGAAUAUUAUAGCAUGGAAUAGUUGGAGAAGACACUGGUUCUAUUAGAGAUUUGUAGAGCAGGUGUAAUAGUUGAGAGGAACAGAAGGGGGCAUUCAUAUUCGCAUGUGAGAGGUGGAAUUCUUGGAUCUUGCGAAGGUGGACUACUGCGAAAGCAUUUGUCAAGAUUGUUUUCAUUAAUCAAGAACGAAAGUUAGGGGAUCGAAGACGAUUAGAUACCGUCCUAGUCUUAACCAUAAACCAUGCCUUUUGGAGAUCAGGUGAACCUCGAACGCAGAGGAUUCUGGCAUCCUAGGGGAAACUAAAAUUUUUGGGUUCCGGGGGGAGUAUGGUCGCAAGACUGAAACUUAAAGGAAUUGACGGAAGGGCACCACCAGGAGUGGAGCUUGCGGCUUAAUUUGACUCAACGCGAGAAAUCUCACCAGGUCCAGACAUGGGAAGGAUUGACAGAGAAGCAGCUUUUUCUCGAUUACAUGGGUGGUGGUGCAUGGCCGUUCUCAGUUGGUGGGGUGAUCUGUCUGGUUGAUUCCGAUAACGAACGAGACCUCGACCUACUAAAUAAUUAGCACUUUGCUGUAAGUGAUGAUUUCUUAGAGGGACUUUUCGUGUCCAACGAAAGGAGGUAUGAGGCUAUAACAGGUCUGUGAUGCCCUUAGAUGUUCUGGGCUGCACGCGCGCUACACUGACAUAGACAGAGAGAUGUUCCUAUCCGAGGGGAGUGGAGAAACUUGAGAGGAUAUGUCGUGAUGGGGAUAGUUUAUUGCAAUUAUUGAACUUAAACGAGGAAUUCCUAGUAAGCGUAUGGAAUGAACUUACGCUGAUUACGUCCCUGCCCCUUGUACACACCGCCC
rnacentral:rRNA from 1 species